rnacentral:rRNA from 1 species
AGGGGGGACGGAGAAGGCUAUGUUGGCCGGGCGACGGUUGUCCCGGUUUAAGCGUGUAGGUGUGUGUUCCAGGUAAAUCCGGUUCACUUUAACACUGAGGCGUGACGACGAGGCACUACGGUGCUGAAGCAACAAAUGCCCUGCUUCCAGGAAAAGCCUCUAAGCAUCAGGUAACAUCAAAUCGUACCCCAAACCGACACAGGUGGUCAGGUAGAGAAUACCAAGGCGCUUGAGAGAACUCGGGUGAAGGAACUAGGCAAAAUGGUGCCGUAACUUCGGGAGAAGGCACGCUGACACGUAGGUGAAGUGAUUUACUCAUGGAGCUGAAGUCAGUCGAAGAUACCAGCUGGCUGCAACUGUUUAUUAAAAACACAGCACUGUGCAAACACGAAAGUGGACGUAUACGGUGUGACGCCUGCCCGGUGCCGGAAGGUUAAUUGAUGGGGUCAGCGCAAGCGAAGCUCCUGAUCGAAGCCCCGGUAAACGGCGGCCGUAACUAUAACGGUCCUAAGGUAGCGAAAUUCCUUGUCGGGUAAGUUCCGACCUGCACGAAUGGCGUAAUGAUGGCCAGGCUGUCUCCACCCGAGACUCAGUGAAAUUGAACUCGCUGUGAAGAUGCAGUGUACCCGCGGCAAGACGGAAAGACCCCGUGAACCUUUACUAUAGCUUGACACUGAACAUUGAGCCUUGAUGUGUAGGAUAGGUGGGAGGCUUUGAAGUGUGGACGCCAGUCUGCAUGGAGCCGACCUUGAAAUACCACCCUUUAAUGUUUGAUGUUCUAACGUGGACCCGUUACCCGGGUUGCGGACAGUGUCUGGUGGGUAGUUUGACUGGGGCGGUCUCCUCCUAAAGAGUAACGGAGGAGCACGAAGGUUGGCUAAUCCUGGUCGGACAUCAGGAGGUUAGUGCAAUGGCAUAAGCCAGCUUGACUGCGAGCGUGACGGCGCGAGCAGGUGCGAAAGCAGGUCAUAGUGAUCCGGUGGUUCUGAAUGGAAGGGCCAUCGCUCAACGGAUAAAAGGUACUCCGGGGAUAACAGGCUGAUACCGCCCAAGAGUUCAUAUCGACGGCGGUGUUUGGCACCUCGAUGUCGGCUCAUCACAUCCUGGGGCUGAAGUAGGUCCCAAGGGUAUGGCUGUUCGCCAUUUAAAGUGGUACGCGAGCUGGGUUUAGAACGUCGUGAGACAGUUCGGUCCCUAUCUGCCGUGGGCGCUGGAGAACUGAGGGGGGCUGCUCCUAGUACGAGAGGACCGGAGUGGACGCAUCACUGGUGUUCGGGUUGUCAUGCCAAUGGCACUGCCCGGUAGCUAAAUGCGGAAGAGAUAAGUGCUGAAAGCAUCUAAGCACGAAACUUGCCCCGA